rnacentral:rRNA from 1 species
GACGAACGCUGGCGGCGUGCUUAACACACGCAAGUCGAGCGGUAAGGCCCUUUCGGGGGUACACGAGCGGCGAACGGGUGAGUAACACGUGGGUGACCUGCCCUCAGCUCUGGGAUAAGCCUGGGAAACCGGGUCUAAUACCGGAUAUGACUCCAUGACGCAUGUUGUGGGGUGGAAAGCCUUGUGCGGCUGAGGAUGGGCCCGCGGCCUAUCAGCUUGUUGGUGGGGUGAUGGCCUACCAAGGCGACGACGGGUAGCCGGCCUGAGAGGGCGACCGGCCACACUGGGACUGAGACACGGCCCAGACUCCUACGGGAGGCAGCAGUGGGGAAUCUUGCGCAAUGGGCGAAAGCCUGACGCAGCGACGCCGCGUGAGGGAUGACGGCCU